AUCAACUUUCGAUGGUAGGAUAGAGGCCUACCAUGGUGGUAACGGGUAACGGGGUGUUAGGGCACGACACCGGAGAGGGAGCCUGAGAAACGGCUACCACAUCCAAGGAUGGCAGCAGGCGCGCAAAUUACCCAAUCCCGACACGGGGAGGUAGUGACAAUAAAUAACAAUACGGGGUUCUUUCGGAUUUCGUAAUUGGAAUGAGUACAAUUUAAAUCUCUUAACGAGGAACAAUUGGAGGGCAAGUCUGGUGCCAGCAGCCGCGGUAAUUCCAGCUCCAAUAGCGUAUAUUAAAGUUGUUGCAGUUAAAAAGCUCGUAGUUGAAUUUCGGGGUCAGUAGAUUGGUCGUGCCACUGGUAUGCACUGGUCUUACUGGCUCCUCCCUCCUGAUGAACCGUAAUGCCAUUAAUUUGGUGUUGCGGGGAGACUGGACUGUUACUUUGAAAAAAUUAGAGUGUUUAAAGCAGGCUAACGCUUGAAUACAUUAGCAUGGAAUAAUGAAAUAGGACGUUCGAUCUUAUUUUGUUGGUUUCUAAGAUUGACGUAAUGAUUAAUAGGGAUAGUUGGGGGCAUUAGUAUUCAAUUGUCAGAGGUGAAAUUCUUGGAUUUAUUGAAGACUAACUACUGCGAAAGCAUUUGCCAAGGAUGUUUUCAUUAAUCAAGAACGAAAGUUAGGGGAUCGAAGACGAUCAGAUACCGUCGUAGUCUUAACCAUAAACUAUGCCGACUAGGGAUCGGAUGAUGUUAAUUUUAUAAUGACUCAUUCGGCGCCUUACGGGAAACCAAAGUGUUUGGGUUC
rnacentral:rRNA from 1 species